UAGGGAAUCUUCCACAAUGGACGCAAGUCUGAUGGAGCAACGCCGCGUGAGUGAAGAAGGUUUUCGGACCGUAAAGCUCUGUUGUUGGUGAAGAAGGAUAGAGGUAGUAACUGGCCUUUAUUUGACGGUAAUCAACCAGAAAGUCACGGCUAACUACGUGCCAGCAGCCGCGGUAAUACGUAGGUGGCAAGCGUUGUCCGGAUUUAUUGGGCGUAAAGCGAGCGCAGGCGGAAGAAUAAGUCUGAUGUGAAAGCCCUCGGCUUAACCGAGGAAUUGCAUCGGAAACUGUUUUCUUGAGUGCAGAAGAGGAGAGUAGAACUCCAUGUGUAGCGGUGGAAUGCGUAGAUAUAUGGAAGAAUACCAGUGGCGAAGGCGGCUCUCUGGUCUGCAACUGACGCUGAGGCUCGAAAGCAUGGGUAGCGAACAGGAUUAGAUACCCUUGGUAGUCCAUGCCGUAAACGAUGAGUGCUAAGUGUUGGGAG
rnacentral:rRNA from 1 species